GUUGAACGCUGGCGGCAGGCCUAACACAUGCAAGUCGAACGAGAGGCGGACGGGUGAGUAAGGGAUGAGAAACUGCGUGAUGGAGGGGGAUAACGACUGGAAACGGUAGAUAAUACCGCAUACGAUCAGAUGGGCCCAGAUGGGAUUAGCUUGUUGGUGGGGUAACGGCUCACCAAGGCGAAGAUCCCUAGCUGGGCUGAGAGGAGGACCGGCCACACUGGAACUGAGACACGGUCCAGACUCCUACGGGAGGCAGCAGUGGGGAAUAUUGCACAAUGGGCGAAAGCCUGAUGGAGCCAUGCCGCGUGUAUGAAGAAGGCCUUCGGGUUGUAAAGUACUUUCGGCGGGGAGGCGUUACCCGCAGAAGAAGCACCGGCUAACUCCGUGCCAGCAGCCGCGGUAAUUC
rnacentral:rRNA from 1 species